UACGAAGGUGGCAAGCGUUGUUCGGAUUUACUGGGCGUACAGGGAGCGUAGGCGGUUCGGUAAGCCCUCUGUGAAAUCUCCAGGCUUAACCUGGUACAGUCGGAGGGGACUGCCGGGCUAGAGGACGGGAGAGGAGCGCGGAAUUCCCGGUGUAGCGGUGAAAUGCGUAGAGAUCGGGAGGAAGGCCGGUGGCGAAGGCGGCGCUCUGGAACGUUUCUGACGCUGAGGCUCGAAAGCGUGGGGAGCAAACAGGG
rnacentral:rRNA from 1 species